rnacentral:rRNA from 1 species
UGAACGCUGGCGGCGUGCUUAACACAUGCAAGUCGAGCGAUGAAGCCCAGCUUGCUGGGUGGAUUAGUGGCGAACGGGUGAGUAACACGUGAGUAACCUGCCCUUGACUCUGGGAUAAGCCUGGGAAACUGGGUCUAAUACUGGAUAUGACUUCUCAUCGCAUGGUGGGGGGUGGAAAGAUUUAUUGGUCUUGGAUGGACUCGCGGCCUAUCAGCUUGUUGGUGAGGUAAUGGCUCACCAAGGCGACGACGGGUAGCCGGCCUGAGAGGGUGACCGGCCACACUGGGACUGAGACACGGCCCAGACUCCUACGGGAGGCAGCAGUGGGGAAUAUUGCACAAUGGGCGCAAGCCUGAUGCAGCGACGCCGCGUGAGGGAUGACGGCCUUCGGGUUGUAAACCUCUUUCAGUAGGGAAGAAGCGAGAGUGACGGUACCUGCAGAAGAAGCGCCGGCUAACUACGUG